rnacentral:rRNA from 1 species
GACGAACGCUGGCGGCGUGCCUAACACAUGCAAGUCGAACGGAGAUAUGCGAACGAGGCCUUCGGGCGGAGAUUGCAUAUUUUAGUGGCGGACGGGCGAGUAACGCGUGAGCAACCUGCCCUUCAGAGGGGGAUAACGGCUGGAAACGGCCGCUAAUACCGCAUGACAUAUACACAAGGCAUCUUGAGUAUAUCAAAGGAGGAAUCCGCUGAAGGAUGGGCUCGCGUCCGAUUAGCUGGUUGGUGAGGUAACGGCUCACCAAGGCGACGAUCGGUAGCCGAACUGAGAGGUUGAUCGGCCGCAUUGGGACUGAGACACGGCCCAGACUCCUACGGGAGGCAGCAGUGGGGGAUAUUGCACAAUGGAGGAAACUCUGAUGCAGCGACGCCGCGUGGGGGAAGAAGGUCUUCGGAUUGUAAAACCUCAGUAGUCAGGGAAGAAGCAAGUGACGGUACCUGAAGAGUAAGCUCCGGCUAACUACGUGCCAGCCCGG